CACUGAGUGUGCUUCACUCAUUUUGAUUUUUUCGCGCAACUACUGAAAAUCUUUUAGCUGCGGCAAUUUAAUUAAAGUUUUCAUAAAAUGAAAGUGGCUGUCUUAAAUUAAAAGGGGUUUAGUUACAAUUUUCAGCCAAAAUAUACAUAAACGCUUAUGCUGACUGGUGAACACAACUAAAGCUUAUUAGUGUGCACAAUCCUUCAGAGCCUUGAAGAAUAACCUGGGUUAUGUGAGCUUGAUCGCUCAGCCAACCAAACCACAUCGAACAAAGGUUUAGUGAUUGUUAUUUUUUACCAAAAUUCAAUUUAUGUACGUAGAUACAUACCGCAGCCGCUAGAAAACCAUACAAAAUGAGAAGAAGUGAGGUUUGGAAGUUUUUUAAUGAAAA